rnacentral:lncRNA from 1 species
GCCUCUGCCUCCCGUCGGCCUCUGCAGUCCCAACGUCUGCCUCACAGCAGAUUCUUCACGCCCAGCAUCUACCUCACUGUGGACCCCCCAAGCCAAGCUCCCAACCUUUCAGCAGCUUCUACACACCCAGCUCCUGCCACCCAGUGGCCUCUUUAGGCCAAGCUCAUGCUUCACAAGGGCCUUUCCAGGCCCAACUUUUGUCUCAUGGCAACCUUCCCUGGCCAGAUUCCUGCCUGUCUCCCAGCAGCCUAGACAGGCCCAGGUCUUGCCUCACACUGGCCUCUCUACAUCCAGCUUAUGCCUCACGGUGGCCUCUCCAGGCCCAACUCCUGUCCCAGGACGUCAUCUCCGGGCCCAAAACUUACUCAAGUUAGACUCUCUAGUCCCAACUGCUGCCUCCUGGUGGCCUAUGAAGGCCCAAAAUCUCCUCAAGUUGACCUGUCCAGGCCCAGCUCCUGCCUCCUGUCAGCGUCUACAGGCCCAACCUCUGCCUCAUGGGGGCUUCUCCAGGCCCACCUCUUCCUCUUGGCUGGGUCUACAGGCACAACUGCUGCCUCACAACAGCCUUUUUUGGCCCAGUUCCUGUCCAGCUCAUGGCGGCCAAUGUAGGCCCAAAACUUCCUCAAGUCAAACUCUCCAGGCCCACCUUCUGCUUCCCGGUGGCAUCAACAGGCCCAGCUUUGACUUGAGAACAGCCUCUGCAGGCCCUGCUCUUGCCUCCCAGGGGCUUUUUCCAGGCCCAGCUCUUGCCUCAUGGCAGCUGCCCCAGGCCAAAUUUCUGCCUGCCUGCCAGCAGCCUCAACAGGCACAGCUCCUCCCUCACAGUGGCCCAUUUAGGCCCAACUCAUGACUGUGAGGCCAUUUCCAGGCCUAGUGCCUGCCUCGUGGCUGACUCUUGAAGCCCAAAACUUCCUCAAAUCAGGCUUUUGCCCAACUUCUGUCUACUGUCGGACUCUACAGGUCAGCCUCUGCCUCACAGUGGACCCUCCAGACCCAGAUGGUGUCUCACUGUGGCAUCCUCAGGCGAAGCUCCUGCCUUUCGGCAGCCUCUCCAGGCCCAGCUCCUCCUGCCUCCCAGUGGCCUCUUUCGGCCCAGCCCAGCUCAUGCCUCCCGGCGGCCUUCCCAAGCCCCGCUUUUGACUUUCGGUGGCCUCUGCAGGCCUCGACAAGGCCCAGCCUCCUGCCUCCCGAAGGCCUGCACAGGCCCAGCCUCUGCCUCACAGCGGACUCUCCACGCCCAGCUAGCUGUUGCUUCACUGCGGCCUCCCGAGUCCAAAGCUCCUGCCUCUCGGCCGCUUCGGCAGGCCCAGCUCCCGCCUGCCAGUGGCCUCUUCAGGCCCAUGGGGCUCAUUCCUGACAACGGCCUUUCCAGGCCCAGUUUUUCCCUUCCGGCGGCCUCUCCGGGCCCAGAACCUCCUCAAGUCGGCCUCUCCAGACCCACUUGCACCCUCCGGGCGUUCUCUCCGGGCCCAGCUCUUCUUCCUGGUUGGGUCUCCAGGCCCGAUUCCUGCCUCUCAACAACCUCUUUGGACUCAGUGCCUACCCAUCUCCUGGCGGCCUUGGUCGGCCCACAGCUUCCUCAAGCCAAGCUCCCCAGGCCCAGGUCAGGCCUCACGGUGGCCUCUCCAGGAUGAGCUCCUGCCCUCCGAUGGCAUCUCCAGGCCCCAAAUGGUCUCCGGUCGGUGGGCUCCUCCACGCCAAGGUUGGGCCUCCCGGCGACCGCCGCAGGCCCAAGUUGUCCUGAAGUCGGGCUCUCCCGGCUGCAUCUCCAGGCCGGACUCUGGCCCGACUCCAGGUCCCAACAACGUCUUUGGACUCAGCUCCUGCCCAGCUCCCAGCGGCCCUGGUAGGCCCACAACUUCCCUAAGCCAAGCUCCCCAGGCCCAGCUCAGGCCUCGCGGUGGCCUCUCCAGGCUCAGCUCCUGGCCCUCCGAUGACAUCUGCAGGCCCCAAAUGGCCUCCGGUCGGUGGGCUCCUCUAGGCCCAGCUUGGGCCUCCCGGCGGCCUCCGCAGGCCCAAAUCGUCCCGAAGUCAGUCUCUCCAGGCUUAGCUCCAGCCUCCCGGCGGCCUCUGCAGGCCCAAGUCGUCCUCAAGUCGGCCUGGAAGUGGGCCUGGAAGAGCAGCAAGUCGGCCUCCCUGGGCCCAGCUCCGUCCUCUCGACGGCCUCUCCAGGUGCAAAACUUCCUCGAGUCAGCCUCUCCAGGCCCAGCUCCUCCUGCCUCCCAGUGGCCUCUUUCGGCCCAGCCCAGCUCAUGGCUCUCGGCGGCCUUCCCAGGCCCCGCUUUUGACUUUUGGCAGCCUCUUCAGGCGCAGAACUUGAUCUCCAGUCGGCCUUUGCAGGCCCGGCCUCCUGCCUCUCGAAGGCCUGCACGGGCCCGGCCUCGGCCUCGGCCUCACAGCAGACUCUCCACGCCCAGCUAGCUCUCGCCUCACUGCGGCCUCCCCAGUCCAAAGCUCCUGCCUUUCGGCCACUUCGGCAGGUCCAGCUCCUGCCUGCCAGUGGCCUCUUUAGGCCCAGCUCAUUCCUCACGUCGGCCAUUCCAGGCCCCGUUUUUCCCUUCCGGCAGCCUCUUGGCCUCUAAUUUGUUUAUCUUUUGUGUAUAAAUCCCAAAAUAUUGAAUUUUGGAAUAUUUCCACCAUUAUGUAAAUAUUUUGAUAGGU